UACGUAGGGGGCAAGCGUUGUUCGGAAUUACUGGGCGUAAAGGGCGCGUAGGCGGCACAGCAAGUCGGGAGUGAAAGCCCGGGGCUCAACCCCGGAAUGGCUUUCGAAACUGCUGAGCUAGAGUACAGAAGGGGCAACCGGAAUUCCCAGUGUAGCUGUGAAAUGCGUAGAUAUUGGGAAGAACACCUGAGGCGAAGGCGGGUUGCUGGGCUGAUACUGACGCUGAGGCGCGAAAGCCAGGGGAGCAAACGGG
rnacentral:rRNA from 1 species